UCAGGUACGCCCCUUGAACCGAGAUGUGCCCAUAGUCUCCGAAGUAGAAGCUGUAGAUGGCCUCGUACCUGUCGCCGUUCCUCUCUGGGACGUGUUGGAUCAGCACGCAGAUCCCCGCCGUGAUCCCCAACCGCUUCUCCAGGCAAAUGGAUUAAUCGACGAGAUCCGGAAUCAAGACUGGAGCUCGAUCUUGCCUUGUUACUGAAGGGGACGAGAUCGCCGAGGCAGUUGACUUCCUUCUGGCUCAGGCGGAGGUAGGCGGGGCUCCCGCGAUCGCGCUCGUUGAACUCGUACACGCAGAGCUCCUGCACCCUGGCUGCGGAGGUCUUUCCCAGUCAACGACCGGCCGUCGAUCUUAGAAGCAACAGGGAUCGGAAAAGGGGAGAGAAAACGGAGCUUACUUUGCUUGGAAUCAGAGGGUGGCUUCUUCGCCGAGAAGAAGCAGAUGGGGCUGAUGCUUCUGCUUCCGAUUAGAAGGUCGGUUCGGCUAUUUCUGCAGCUCGAAACCUGAAAUUUGGGGGAUUUGAUUCCGGGGAUGAAGGAGUUUGCGGUGAGGUAGAUCGACGAGGAUUUACUAUGUUGCUGGGUUUCUGGAGAUGCAGGGAGAUGGAAGUAAGGGGAUGCGAAAGGGGAGGAGGAGUAGGAAGCCGCCAUGGCAAGGAAUGAGGCAGCAGCGGUAGGUGGAAGUGGAACAAUUGGCAGUAGAGUUGCAGUGGGUUGUAGCACUGGUCAUACGAGCGUAAUUAAUAUUAUUGCAAUAUGCAAUAUGCAAUAUGCAAUAUGCAAUA